UACGUAGGGUGCGAGCGUUAAUCGGAAUUACUGGGCGUAAAGCGUGCGCAGGCGGUUCGAUAAGUCUGAUGUGAAAUCCCCGGGCUCAACCUGGGAACUGCGUUGGAAACUGUCGAGCUAGAGUGUAGAAGAGGGGGGUAGAAUUCCACGUGUAGCAGUGAAAUGCGUAGAGAUGUGGAGGAAUACCGAUGGCGAAGGCAGCCCCCUGGGCUAACACUGACGCUCAUGCACGAAAGCGUGGGGAGCAAACAGGAUUAGAUACCCUGGUAGUCCACGCCCUAAACGAUGUCUACUAGUUGUUGGUGGAGUAAAAUCCAUUAGUCACGCAGCUAACGCGUGAAGUAGACCGCCUGGGGAGUACGGUCGCAAGAUUAAA
rnacentral:rRNA from 1 species